AGGAAGAGAAGCUUGCUUCUUGAAUCUAGUGGCAAACGGGUGAGUAACACGUAAACACCUGCCUUCAGGAUGGGGACAACAGACGGAAACGACUGCUAAUACCGAAUGUGACCGCAUGAUGAAAGAUGGCCUUUUAAGCUAUCGCCUGAAGAGGGGUUUGCGUCUGAUUAGGCAGUUGGUGAGGUAACGGCCCACCAAACCUACGAUCAGUAGCCGGUCUGAGAGGAUGAACGGCCACACUGGAACUGAGACACGGUCCAGACUCCUACGGGAGGCAGCAGUGGGGAAUCUUCCGCAAUGGACGAAAGUCUGACGGAGCAACGCCGCGUGAGUGAUGACGGCCUUCGGGUUGUAAAGCUCUGUGAUCGGGGACGAUGCUGGUAGCUAAUACCAUUCAGAGUGACGGUACCCGAAUAGCAAGCCACGGCUAACUACGUGCCAGCAGCCGCGGUAAUACGUAGGUGGCAAGCGUUGUCCGGAAUUAUUGGGCGUAAAGCGCGCGCAGGCGGUUCUUAAGUCCAUCUUAAAAGUGCGGGGCUUAACCCCGUGGUGNGAUGGAAACUGGGAGCUGGAGUAUCGGAGAGGAAAGNGGAAUUC
rnacentral:rRNA from 1 species